rnacentral:rRNA from 1 species
AGCCAGGAUGUUGGCUUAGAAGCAGCCAUCAUUUAAAGAAAGCGUAAUAGCUCACUGGUCGAGUCGGCCUGCGCGGAAGAUGUAACGGGGCUAAACCAUGCACCGAAGCUGCGGCAGCGACGCUUAUGCGUUGUUGGGUAGGGGAGCGUUCUGUAAGCCUGCGAAGGUGUGCUGUGAGGCAUGCUGGAGGUAUCAGAAGUGCGAAUGCUGACAUAAGUAACGAUAAAGCGGGUGAAAAGCCCGCUCGCCGGAAGACCAAGGGUUCCUGUCCAACGUUAAUCGGGGCAGGGUGAGUCGACCCCUAAGGCGAGGCCGAAAGGCGUAGUCGAUGGGAAACAGGUUAAUAUUCCUGUACUUGGUGUUACUGCGAAGGGGGGACGGAGAAGGCUAUGUUGGCCGGGCGACGGUUGUCCCGGUUUAAGCGUGUAGGCUGGUUUUCCAGGCAAAUCCGGAAAAUCAAGGCUGAGGCGUGAUGACGAGGCACUACGGUGCUGAAGCAACAAAUGCCCUGCUUCCAGGAAAAGCCUCUAAGCAUCAGGUAACAUCAAAUCGUACCCCAAACCGACACAGGUGGUCAGGUAGAGAAUACCAAGGCGCUUGAGAGAACUCGGGUGAAGGAACUAGGCAAAAUGGUGCCGUAACUUCGGGAGAAGGCACGCUGAUAUGUAGGUGAAGUCCCUUGCGGAUGGAGCUGAAAUCAGUCGAAGAUACCAGCUGGCUGCAACUGUUUAUUAAAAACACAGCACUGUGCAAACACGAAAGUGGACGUAUACGGUGUGACGCCUGCCCGGUGCCGGAAGGUUAAUUGAUGGGGUCAGCGCAAGCGAAGCUCUUGAUCGAAGCCCCGGUAAACGGCGGCCGUAACUAUAACGGUCCUAAGGUAGCGAAAUUCCUUGUCGGGUAAGUUCCGACCUGCACGAAUGGCGUAAUGAUGGCCAGGCUGUCUCCACCCGAGACUCAGUGAAAUUGAACUCGCUGUGAAGAUGCAGUGUACCCGCGGCAAGACGGAAAGACCCCGUGAACCUUUACUAUAGCUUGACACUGAACAUUGAGCCUUGAUGUGUAGGAUAGGUGGGAGGCUUUGAAGUGUGGACGCCAGUCUGCAUGGAGCCGACCUUGAAAUACCACCCUUUAAUGUUUGAUGUUCUAACGUUGACCCGUAAUCCGGGUUGCGGACAGUGUCUGGUGGGUAGUUUGACUGGGGCGGUCUCCUCCUAAAGAGUAACGGAGGAGCACGAAGGUUGGCUAAUCCUGGUCGGACAUCAGGAGGUUAGUGCAAUGGCAUAAGCCAGCUUGACUGCGAGCGUGACGGCGCGAGCAGGUGCGAAAGCAGGUCAUAGUGAUCCGGUGGUUCUGAAUGGAAGGGCCAUCGCUCAACGGAUAAAAGGUACUCCGGGGAUAACAGGCUGAUACCGCCCAAGAGUUCAUAUCGACGGCGGUGUUUGGCACCUCGAUGUCGGCUCAUCACAUCCUGGGGCUGAAGUAGGUCCCAAGGGUAUGGCUGUUCGCCAUUUAAAGUGGUACGCGAGCUGGGUUUAGAACGUCGUGAGACAGUUCGGUCCCUAUCUGCCGUGGGCGCUGGAGAACUGAGGGGGGCUGCUCCUAGUACGAGAGGACCGGAGUGGACGCAUCACUGGUGUUCGGGUUGUCAUGCCAAUGGCACUGCCCGGUAGCUAAAUGCGGAAGAGAUAAGUGCUGAAAGCAUCUAAGCACGAAACUUGCCCCGAGAUGAGUUCUCCCUGACUCCUUGAGAGUCCUGAAGGAACGUUGAAGACGACGACGUUGAUAGGCCGGGUGUGUAAGCGCAGCGAUGCGUUGAGCUAACCGGUACUAAUGAACCGUGAGGCUUAACC